rnacentral:pre_miRNA from 1 species
UUAACUCAACUUGUGUAUGGAGUUGGAGCGUUUGCUAGAGCUAGAGCUAGAGACGCUGUUUCAACUGCAUACAAAUUUGAGUUA